GACGAACGCUGGCGGCGUGCCUAAUACAUGCAAGUAGAACGCACAGUUUAUACCGUAGCUUGCUACACCAUAAACUGUGAGUUGCGAACGGGUGAGUAACGCGUAGGUAACCUGCCUGGUAGCGGGGGAUAACUAUUGGAAACGAUAGCUAAUACCGCAUAAUAUUGAUUAUUGCAUGAUAAUUGAUUGAAAGAUGCUAUUGCAUCACUACCAGAUGGACCUGCGUUGUAUUAGCUAGUAGGUGAGGUAACGGCUCACCUAGGCGACGAUACAUAGCCGACCUGAGAGGGUGAUCGGCCACACUGGGACUGAGACACGGCCCAGACUCCUACGGGCGGCAGCAGUAGGGAAUCUUCGGCAAUGGACGAAAGUCUGACCGAGCAACGCCGCGUGAGUGAAGAAGGUUUUCGGAUCGUAAAGCUCUGUUGUAAGAGAAGAACGGGUGUGAGAGUGGAAAGUUCACACUGUGACGGUAUCUUACCAGAAAGGGACGGCUAACUACGUG
rnacentral:rRNA from 1 species